ACCUGGAAUAGCUCAGCUGGUAGAGCAUGAGACCCUUAAUCUCAGGGUCGUGGGUUUGAGCCCCACAUUGGGCA